rnacentral:lncRNA from 1 species
UGAAUGGACUUGAAAAUGAAUAAGUACAAAAAAGACUCAGUAAUAUUUUUGUUCUUCUAUUUCAAAAAACAAACUAUGCAUUUUUAUAUUUAUAUAAAAGUAUUUCAGAGCACAAGUCAAAAUUAAGUCACACUUCAUGUCAGUAUGAUCAUGCUUUGAAUAAGAUUGAUUAAAAUGCAACUCUAAAAGAGAUUGUUGUAAGGCAGCCCCCCCCCCCCCCCCCCAAAAAAAAAAACAAAAAAAACCCCAGUAAAUCUAAUGGUUGUUGGCUGCCUAAGUUCAAAUUUAGGACAAUACUUUUUCAUUUACUUUUGCAGGA